rnacentral:rRNA from 1 species
CCUACGGGAGGCAGCAGUGGGGAAUAUUGGACAAUGGGCGAAAGCCUGAUCCAGCCAUGCCGCGUGUGUGAAGAAGGCCUUCGGGUUGUAAAGCACUUUCAGUGGGGAAGAAAGCCUUGGGGCUAAUACCCUCGAGGAAGGACAUCACCCACAGAAGAAGCACCGGCUAACUCCGUGCCAGCAGCCGCGGUAAUACGGAGGGUGCGAGCGUUAAUCGGAAUUACUGGGCGUAAAGCGCGCGUAGGCGGUCUGAUAAGCCGGUUGUGAAAGCCCCGGGCUCAACCUGGGAACGGCAUCCGGAACUGUCAGGCUAGAGUGCAGGAGAGGAAGGUAGAAUUCCCGGUGUAGCGGUGAAAUGCGUAGAGAUCGGGAGGAAUACCAGUGGCGAAGGCGGCCUUCUGGACUGACACUGACGCUGAGGUGCGAAAGCGUGGGUAGCAAACAGGAUUAGAUACCCCAGUAGC